rnacentral:rRNA from 1 species
GACGAACGCUGGCGGCGUGCUUAACACAUGCAAGUCGAACGGAAAGGCCCUGCUUUUGUGGGGUGCUCGAGUGGCGAACGGGUGAGUAACACGUGAGUAACCUGCCCUUGACUUUGGGAUAACUUCAGGAAACUGGGGCUAAUACCGGAUAGGAGCUCCUGCUGCAUGGUGGGGGUUGGAAAGUUUCGGCGGUUGGGGAUGGACUCGCGGCUUAUCAGCUUGUUGGUGGGGUAGUGGCUUACCAAGGCUUUGACGGGUAGCCGGCCUGAGAGGGUGACCGGCCACAUGGGGCCUAGGGGAGGCCCAAGUCGCGAACGGGGGGCAGGGGGGGGAAAUAUGCCAAAGGGGGGGGGAGCCUGAGACGGAAACCCCGGGGGCGGAAAACCGGCUUUUGGGUUGAAAACCCCUUUCCCCGGAAACAAGGCGGGAUGGACGGUAAUGGGUAAAAAAGCCCCGGCUAACUACGU